GGCUGGAGGUACAGCAGGGUUUCAAAAGAGCAAGCCGCCCAGAAACGCUUCACACUUCCUGAAAACUGCAAUAUUUUAGCAAGUUUCUGACAGCUGAGGACCAGAAACCCACAAAAUUCUUUCAUUAUUCACUCGGCACCAGCUGGGUGUGUGUUCAGCCUGAAUGCUGAAGCUUGCAUAAGAUAUUAAAACCUGAGUCAAAGAUUACUAAGAUUUGUGGAACACAAUGCAUCAGGCUUCUUGGAUUGAUUACAGUCUAAGAGAUGGAGAGAUUACUUUCUCCUUUUCACAGCAUCUUGACAUGGAUGACAGUCUAUUCAUACAGCACUGAUCUGAUCUUUUUGACUUGAAAAACACUUUAAACGGCACGAACUGAACUUCUUUUCUGCCAAAGGUGCCAGUAACAUGCUGAGAUAUGCAGCAAUGGGCCAACAAAGGCAAAGAAGGCAACAAAGAAGGCAACAAAGAAGAAGAAGAUAGACAGCAGGACAACAUCUUCCAGCCCUCUGAAGCCAAUUUGACAUAGUGACCAGACCUUGCAACUACAACUUCCAGGUCCGACACUUGAUGCUAUUAGGGCCAAAAAGAUGUGGAUGUAGGGGCUCUGGGUAAAUUUGGUGAUGUCAAAAUUUUUGUGGUUUCAUACGCCUCUGAGGAACAACAAACACACACUUUAUUUUUCAAGCACAUUGAGUUUCCAGCACAGAGUUUUUAUUCUAAGGUGCAGUUUCCUGCUGUGAAGUGAGUGACUAACAGAGACAGCAAACUAGCUCAACGACAUAGCCAAAUGCAAGUAUGGUGCAGAAUAUAUGAAACCGUGUGGACCUUGAAAUAACAACUAAGGAGAAAUCUGAACCCUGUGGCUGGACAAGUUGGGAACCACUGUUGUUAACAAUGCUGGAUUUGAAAUACUAAAAAACGGGGAAAGACAAGAUUGACAGCAAGAAAACGUCUCCCAGCCCCCAGGGAGUGCGUCAGACUUUGAAGCCAAUUUGACACGGUGAGCCGACCUUAUAGCUACAACUUCCAGAUCUGACAUGU